GACGAACGCUGGCGGCGUGCUUAACACAUGCAAGUCGAACGGUAAGGCCCUGCUUUUGUGGGGUGCUCGAGUGGCGAAAGGGUGAGUAACACGUGAGUGACCUGCCCUUGACUUUGGGAUAACUUCAGGAAACAGGAGCGAUUAUCGGAUAGGAGCACCUUCUGCAUGGUGGGGGUGGUAAAGUUUCGGCGGUUGAGGAUGGACACGCGGUCUAUCAGCGUGUUGGUGGGGUGGUGGCUUACCAGGGCAUUGACGGGUAGCCGGCCUGCGAAGGUGACCGGCCACAUUGGGACUGAGAUACGGCCAAGACUGAUACGGGAGGCAGCAGUGGGAAUUAGUGCACAAUGGGCGGAGGCCGGAUGCAGCAACUCCGCGUGCGGGAUCACUGCCUUCAGGUUGUAAACCUCUUUCGCCUGUGACGCAGAGUAAGUGACGGUAAUGAGUAAAGAAGCACCGGCUAACUACGUG
rnacentral:rRNA from 1 species